GGUUUACACUUGAUCUCUGAACUCCAGGUAAGUUCUAUGUAGAUGCUUUUAGGUACUGAUGCA
rnacentral:snoRNA from 1 species